UACGAAGGGUGCAAGCGUUAAUCGGAAUUACUGGGCGUAAAGCGUGCGUAGGCGGUUUCUUAAGUCUGCUGUGAAAGCCCUGGGCUCAACCUGGGAAUGGCGGUGGAUACUGAGAAGCUGGAGUACGGUAGAGGAAGGUGGAAUUCCCGGUGUAGCGGUGAAAUGCGUAGAGAUCGGGAGGAACAUCAGUGGCGAAGGCGGCCUUCUGGACCAGUACUGACGCUGAGACGCGAAAGCGUGGGGAGCGAACAGG
rnacentral:rRNA from 1 species